GGGCCUCAUGGUGGCCUUCACUGUGUGGGCCUCGAUAUGUGAAUUAACUUUAUCAUGGGUGUUCUUGUUAAAGUCAAAGGUGAAUGGGGGAUUUUUUGGCAGGUUGGAGGUGCAAUUAGAAGCACUUUAAAGUCCUACUAAAUCCUAAUUUAAUAUCUUUGGAGCAAAAUAUUCUUAAAGAAUUUAUCAAAAUUUUAAUGUGGCAUAUCAUUGAAUAUCUUUUUAUAUUCAAGUAUAAUCAAAGUGACCUUGUUCUAACUAUACAGGCAUAAUCUAGUCCCAUGAAGUCAUAGUACUAAGACUUUUCAGUGCCUGUGAUAUGAAAGAAUGGGUUAUGCUGUAGUACUCACAAAAAUAUAUAAUGCCAGAUAAAAUGUAACAAAAAUGUUUGUUAAAAAGUAUGCCUGGGGUUACAAAAGAAAAGGAAAUUCCCAUAUUUCAGAAGACAAUAAAUUGCUGAAAACUGUAGCUUUGACUCAUGAGCUAGCAUUUCUGCAGCUAUGCUGGGGAUUAUUGGAUCCACUUAGUCCUUGGGCUUCACGUCCACACGGGACUGGGACAGAGGCUUGGAGACUCAGUGGAGAAUUGAAUACAGUGCCCAAACAUCAUUCCAGAAUGAGGGAAAAUAAAAUCCUACAGUUCAUAAUAACCAUAGUUAGCAUCGACAAAAGUAUUGAAGGAUAUUCUUCAUAAAAAAUGUAGGAGUGGAAGGCAAUUAUAAUGAUGACGGGGGAAAGGGCACUUAAUGGUGACAAAAGUCAAUAAUGAGUUCCCAUUGUGGCUCAGUGGAAACGAACCUGACUAGUAUCCAGGAGGAUGUGGGUUCAAUCCCUGGCCUCCCUCAGUGGCUAAGAAUCCAGCUUUGCUGUGAGCUGUGGUGUAGGUCACAGACACAGCUUGGAUGCAAGUUCAAUCCCUGGCCUUGCUUAGUGGGUUAAGGAUCUGGCAUUGCCAUGAGCUGUGAUAUAGGUUGCAGAUGUAGCUCUGAUCUUGCAUUGCUGUGGCAUAGGCUGGCAGCUACAGCUCUGAUUAGACCCCUGGCCUGGGAACUUCCAUAUGCCACAGGUGUGUCCCUAAAAAGACAAAAAGACCAAAAACAAACAAACAAACACUUGAUGAUGAGGGUGACAGCACUAAAAGAGAAAAUUUCCAGGCACAAGAACCUCCUCUGUCUACAUCACAUUGGACCUGUAGGUCACUGAAACAUGCAGU
rnacentral:lncRNA from 1 species